AACGAACGCUGGCGGCGCGUCUUAAGCAUGCAAGUCGAACGGCAAGAGAAGAGCUUGCUCUUCUCCUAGAGUGGCGGACUGGUGAGUAACACGUGGGUGAUCUACCCUUGAGAUGGGGAUAGCCGUUAGAAAUAGCGGGUAAUACCGAAUACCCUCACGUUCAUAAAGGGAUGUGAGGAAAGGAAGCUACGGCUUCGCUCGAGGAUGAGCCUGCGUCCCAUUAGCUAGUUGGUGAGGUAAAGGCCCACCAAGGCGACGAUGGGUAUCCGGCCUGAGAGGGUGAUCGGACACAUUGGGACUGAGAUACGGCCCAAACUCCUACGGGAGGCAGCAGCUAAGAAUAUUCCGCAAUGGACGGAAGUCUGACGGAGCGACGCCGCGUGGAUGAAGAAGGCUGAAAAGUUGUAAAAUCCUUUUGCUGAUGAAGAAUAAGGGUAGGAGGGAAUGCCUAUCUGAUGACGGUAAUCGGCGAAUAAGCCCCGCUAAUUA
rnacentral:rRNA from 1 species